GACAGAGGGGGCAAGCGUUGCUCGGAAUUACUGGGCGUAAAGGGCGCGUAGGCGGGAUGGCAAGUCGGUCGUGAAAUCCUUCGGCUCAACCGAAGAACGUCGAUCGAUACUGCUGUUCUUGAGGGUUGCAGAGGAGACUGGAAUUCCCGGUGUAGCGGUGAAAUGUGUAGAUAUCGGGAAGAACACCCGUGGCGAAGGCGGUUCUCUGGGACGGUACUGACGCUGAGACGCGAAAGCGUGGGGAGCGAACAGG
rnacentral:rRNA from 1 species